GCGACAGGCUUAACACAUGCAAGUCGAGGGGCAGCACAGGUAGCAAUACCGGGUGGCGACCGGCGCACGGGUGAGUAACGCGUAUGCAACUUACCUAUCAGAGGGGGAUAACCCGGCGAAAGUCGGACUAAUACCGCAUGAAGCAGGGGCCCCGCAUGGGGAUAUUUGCUAAAGAUUCAUCGCUGAUAGAUAGGCAUGCGUUCCAUUAGGCAGUUGGCGGGGUAACGGCCCACCAAACCGACGAUGGAUAGGGGUUCUGAGAGGAAGGUCCCCCACAUUGGUACUGAGACACGGACCAAACUCCUACGGGAGGCAGCAGUGAGGAAUAUUGGUCAAUGGCCGAGAGGCUGAACCAGCCAAGUCGCGUGAGGGAUGAAGGUUCUAUGGAUCGUAAACCUCUUUUAUAAGGGAAUAAAGUGCGGGACGUGUCCCGUUUUGUAUGUACCUUAUGAAUAAGGAUCGGCUAACUCCGUGCCAGCAGCCGCGGUAAUACGGAGGAUCCGAGCGUUAUCCGGAUUUAUUGGGUUUAAAGGGUGCGUAGGCGGCCUUUUAAGUCAGCGGUGAAAGUCUGUGGCUCAACCAUAGAAUUGCCGUUGAAACUGGGGGGCUUGAGUAUGUUUGAGGCAGGCGGAAUGCGUGGUGUAGCGGUGAAAUGCAUAGAUAUCACGCAGAACCCCGAUUGCGAAGGCAGCCUGCCAAGCCAUGACUGACGCUGAUGCACGAAAGCGUGGGGAUCAAACAGGAUUAGAUACCCUGGUAGUCCACGCAGUAAACGAUGAUCACUAGCUGUUUGCGAUACACAGUAAGCGGCACAGCGAAAGCGUUAAGUGAUCCACCUGGGGAGUACGCCGGCAACGGUGAAACUCAAAGGAAUUGACGGGGGCCCGCACAAGCGGAGGAACAUGUGGUUUAAUUCGAUGAUACGCGAGGAACCUUACCCGGGUUUGAACGCAUUCGGACCGAGGUGGAAACACCUUUUCUAGCAAUAGCCGUUUGCGAGGUGCUGCAUGGUUGUCGUCAGCUCGUGCCGUGAGGUGUCGGCUUAAGUGCCAUAACGAGCGCAACCCUUGCCACUAGUUACUAACAGGUGAUGCUGAGGACUCUGGUGGGACUGCCAGCGUAAGCUGCGAGGAAGGCGGGGAUGGCGUCAAAUCAGCGCGGCCCUUACAUCCGGGGCGACACACGUGUUACAAUGGCGUGGACAAAGGGAGGCCACCUGGCGACAGGGAGCGAAUCCCCAAACCACGUCUCAGUUCGGAUCGGAGUCUGCAACCCGACUCCGUGAAGCUGGAUUCGCUAGUAAUCGCGCAUCAGCCAUGGCGCGGUGAAUACGUUCCCGGGCCUUGUACACACCGCCCGUCAAGCCAUGGGAGCCGGGGGUACCUGAAGUCCGUAACCGCGAGGAUCGGCCUAGGGUAAAACUGGUGACUG
rnacentral:rRNA from 1 species